UUUUUAGUAAGUAAAAACCAGUCAGUCUAAGAACAUAUCUAUAACGAUGAAUCUGCGAACGGCUCAUUACAACAGUUAUAAUCUACUCGAAAUAGAUUUCCUAAACGGAUAUCUGCGAUAAUUUUGGAGCUAAUACGUGCACCAAAUCUCGAUUCCCUGAAUCGAGAGCACUUAUUAGAUGAAGACCAAUCGGGGCAACCCGAAAUGGUGACUCUGAAUACUUUCGCUGAUCGCAUGGUCUUGUACCGGCGACGUAUCGUUCGAGUAUCUGCCUUAUCAACUUUCGAUGGGAGUCUAUGUGACUCCCAUGGUUGUGACGGGUAACGGAGAAUAAGGGUUCGACUCCGGAGAGGGAGCCUGAGAAACGGCUACCACAUCCAAGGAAGGCAGCAGGCGCGUAAAUUACCCACUCUCAAUGCGAGGAGGUAGUGACUAUCAAUAACGAGACAGAUCUCUUUGAGGCCUGUUAUCGGAAUGGGUACAAUUUAAACCCUUUAACGAGGAUCUAUGAGAGGGCAAGUCUGGUGCCAGCAGCCGCGGUAAUUCCAGCUCUCAAAGUGUAUAUCGUCAUUGCUGCGGUUAAAAAGCUCGUAGUUGGAUCUGAGUCUUUGGACGCGGUACUCCUUGUGAGUAACUGUGAUCCUAGACUGUUUUGCCGGUUUGCCUUGGUUUGCCUUCACCGGUAGGCCUUGGUGGCUGGCGUGUUUACCUUGAAUAAAUUAGAGUGCUCAAGACAAGCGUUUCGCUUGAAUAUCCGUGCAUGGAAUAAUGGAAUAGGACUUCGGUUCAUUCUGUUGGUCUUGGAACCGAUGUAAUGGUUAAGAGGGACUGACGGGGGCAUCCGUAUCGCUGCGUGAGAGGUGAAAUAAUAGUCUAGCCGCCGCCCCCC
rnacentral:rRNA from 1 species